UAACACGUAGGGGACGAGCGUUGUCCGGAUUUAUUGGGCGUAAAGCGCGCGUAGGCGGCCCGGAAAGUCGGUUGUGAAAACCCGGGGCUCAACCCCGGGCCUGCAUCCGAAACUUCCGGGCUGGAGGUAGGUAGGGGAGAUCGGAAUUCCUGGUGUAGCGGUGAAAUGCGCAGAUAUCAGGAGGAACACCGGUGGCGAAGGCGGAUCUCUGGGCCUUACCUGACGCUGAGGCGCGAAAGCUAGGGGAGCGAACAGGAUUAGAUACCCUGGUAGUCCUAGCCGUAAACGUUGGGUGCUAGGUGUGGGUGGACAUCGACCCCAUCCGUGCCGAAGCUAACGCAUUAAGCACCCCGCCUGGGGAGUACGGCCGCAAGGCUA
rnacentral:rRNA from 1 species